CCCGUUCUGAAACGAGAGAAAAAAAAGGAAAACAAAGGGUCCUAGUUACACUGUUGAAGGAUGUACGGUCAAGACGGAUACGAAGCUGCCCCGCCUUCUCGUGGUGGUGGAUAUGGCGGCUCUGGAGGCUAUAGUGGAGGCGGUUACGGUGGACGCGGUCGAGAUGGAGGUCACGGGGGCCGUGGAGGCGCCAGAGGAGGAUACGGUGGUGGUUCUCAAAAUCGAGGCUUUUGUUCUUUUAAUGAAUGGGAUCUUGAUGUUGCUGGAGGCGGGGGAGGCUAUCAAGGAGAGCGCGGUGGAAGAGGUGGUGGCCGUGGUGGCGGAGGCCGAGAUGGUGAUUGGCUUUGCCCUAACUCCAGCUGUAGGAACUUGAACUUUGCAAGAAGAGUUGAAUGUAACAAAUGCGGUGCACCCUCUCCUGUGGGUGCUGGUGAACGUGGUAACGGUAGUACUAGUGGUGGUUCUAGCAGAGGAAGUAGUGGUGGUGGCUAUGAUGGUAAUCGCGGAGGUAGAGGAGAUGGGGGUAGAGGUGGUUUUGAUAGUGGGAGGAAUAACAACUAUGAUGGAGGCAGAAGUGGAAAUCAUGAUAACAGAAGUGGUGGUAGUAGAGGUGGCUCUUAUGGAGGUAGUCAAGGAGUGGAAGAUGGUGGCUACGGUCAAGUUCCUCCUCCAGCGUCCAGUUCUUAUGGUGGAAAUUAUCCACCUGCUCCUAAUGCAUAUGGUGGAAAUGGAAAUUAUGGAAUGGAAGCUGUUCCUCCACCUACAAGCUAUACUGGUGGAUCCACAUCAUACCCUCCAUCUUAUGGUGGCCCUGAAGGUGGUUAUGGUGGUGAGGGUUUGAGGGAUGUGAGGACUGGUGGUCGAGGUGGAGCUCCUGGUGGAUAUGGUUCUGUUGGUCCUCGAAAUCAAGGAGGUGGUUAUGGUGAUUCUACUGUUGAUGCAUCGGUUAAGAUCAAGCAGUGUGACGGAAACUGUGGUGAUUCUUGUGACAACUCAAGAAUAUACAUAUCAAAUUUGCCACCUGAUGUUACUAUUGAAGAAUUAAGAGACCUUUUUGGCGGCAUUGGACAAGUUGGGAGAAUUAAGCAGAAGCGUGGUUAUAAAGAUCAAUGGCCCUGGAAUAUAAAAAUAUACACAGAUGAGGAAGGAAACCAGAAAGGCGAUGCAGUUUUGUCUUAUGAAGAUCCCCAGGCUGCUCACUCUGCUGGCAGUUUCUUUAAUAAUCACUCCAUGAGAGGCUAUACAAUCAACGUGGCUAUGGCAGAGAAGACUGCACCCAAAAUAUUUGAUCAUGGAGGUGGUAGAGGUGGCUACAGAGGUGGUGGAAACCGGCGCAGGGAUAGUUACAGCGAUGGGGGUUCUGGGCCAGAUAGGCACAACCAUGGUGGAAAUCGUUCGCGCCCGUAUUGAGGGACUUCAAGCUUCAAGUAUUUUAUGUACUAAGAAUUGUGCUCUAAGGGUUCUAGUUGUGUUGCAUUGAUGGGAUUGUUCUUGAACAGGAGACUAAGAGGUAGGUUGUUCACUUGUCUGGGCAAUACCCCUUUCCUCUCCUUUCUCCUGUCUGCUGUUAGCUAGGUUUUUUUCUUCCUCAGUUCCUUGUCGUUGGAUUGAAUCAAAUUUGUGAAUCUUUUUAUAGAGGCAAGUGGAUUAACUCCAAAUUGCUUGCUGCUAAAGUAGGUUGAUAAUUUCAGGCCUGCUUUAGUGUUAGCAAAUCAAAAGAUGGUUGGGCACGAUGAGUGUCAUGGUGGCAGGCAGCAAUCAUAUUCUUGGGAGUAUGGAAUGCAGAACAACGGCUGGAGGGUUGUGUUCUGCCAUACUUUAUGAUCUGGUUUGUUGUUACGUGGAACUAUGGAUUCCAGCACCUUGAUGCUGCAUGUUAUUCUAUUUGAUCGAUUUUGUGAUGAAUGAAAGCUAAGAUU